rnacentral:rRNA from 1 species
GACGAACGCUGGCGGCGUGCUUAACACAUGCAAGUCGAACGGAAAGGCCCUGCUUUUGUGGGGUGCUCGAGUGGCGAACGGGUGAGUAACACGUGAGUAACCUGCCCUUGACUUUGGGAUAACUUCAGGAAACUGGGGCUAAUACCGGAUAGGAGCUCCUGCUGCAUGGUGGGGGUUGGAAAGUUUCGGCGGUUGGGGCUGGACUCGCGGCUUAUCAGCUUGUUGGUGGGGUAGUGGCUUACCAAGGCUUUGACGGGUAGCCGGCCUGAGAGGGUGACCGGCCACAUUGCGACUGAGAUACGGCCCAGACUCCUACGGGAGGCAGCAGUGGGGAAUAUUGCACAAUGGGCGGAAGCCUGAUGCAGCAACGCCGCGUGCGGGAUGACGGCCUUCGGGUUGUAAACCGCUUUCGCCUGUGACGAAGCGUGAGUGACGGUAAUGGGUAAAGAAGCACCGGCUAACUACGUG